rnacentral:rRNA from 1 species
ACGCUCGACACCUACGGGAGGCAGCAGUGGGGAAUAUUGCACAAUGGGGGAAACCCUGAUGCAGCGACGCCGCGUGAGCGAAGAAGUAUUUCGGUAUGUAAAGCUCUAUCAGCAGGGAAGAAAAUGACGGUACCUGACUAAGAAGCCCCGGCUAACUACGUGCCCGCAGCCGCGGUAAUCUGAGCGGGCUGGCAAGGC